GUAGUUAGCCGGGGCUUCCUCCCCAAUUACCAUCUUCUGCUUUUCAUUGAGGACAGAGGUUUACAAUCCGAAAACCUUCUUCCCUCACGCGGCGUUGCUGGGUCAGACUUUCGUCCAUUGCCCAAUAUUCCCCACUGCUGCCUCCCGUAGGAGUUUGGACCGUGUCUCAGUUCCAAUGUGGCCGAUCACCCUCUCAGGUCGGCUACCCAUCGCUGACUUGGUGGGCCGUUACCUCACCAACUAUCUAAUGGGACGCGAGUCCACCUUACACCGGAUUGCUCCUUUGACCCCUGCACCAUGCGGUGCUGUGGUCUUAUGCGGUAUUAGCACACCUUUCGGUGCGUUAUCCCCCUGUGUAAGACAGGUUCCUCACGCGUUACUCACCCGUCCGCCACUAAGCAUAUCCAGUAGCAAGCUACCUAAUAUGCCUCGUUCGACUUGCAUGUGUUAAGCACGCCGCCAGCGUUCGUCCUGAGCCAGAAUCAAACUCUGA
rnacentral:rRNA from 1 species